rnacentral:rRNA from 1 species
CCUACGGGAGGCAGCAGUGAGGAAUAUUGGUCAAUGGGCGGAAGCCUGAACCAGCCAAGUAGCGUGCGGGAUGAAGGCCCUACGGGUUGUAAACCGCUUUUGCACGGGGAUAACAGCCUCCACUUGUGGAGGUCUGCAGGUAACGUGCGAAUAAGGGCCGGCUAAUGCCGUGCCAGCAGCCGCGGUAAUACGGAGGGCCCGAGCGUUAUCCGGUUUCAUUGGGCUUAAAGGGAGCGUAGGCGGGCGUUCAAGUCAGCUGUAAAAUCGCGAGGCUCAACCGCGCCACGCAGGUGAACCUGGACGCCUUGAGUUCACAACAGGAGGGCGGAAUU